rnacentral:tRNA from 2 species
GGUGACGUAGCUCAGUUGGUAGAGCAAAGGACUGAAAAUCCUUGUGUCGGUGGUUCGAUUCCACUCGUCACCA